UACGAAGGGGGCUAGCGUUGUUCGGAAUUACUGGGCGUAAAGCGCACGUAGGCGGAUCGAUCAGUCAGGGGUGAAAUCCCAGAGCUCAACUCUGGAACUGCCUUUGAUACUGUCGAUCUGGAGUAUGGAAGAGGUGAGCGGAAUUCCGAGUGUAGAGGUGAAAUUCGUAGAUAUUCGGAGGAACACCAGUGGCGAAGGCGGCUCACUGGUCCAUCACUGACGCUGAGGUGCGAAAAGCGUGGGGAGCAAACAGG
rnacentral:rRNA from 1 species